CUGGCGGCGUGCUUAACACAUGCAAGUCGAACGGAGAACCCUUGACGGAGUUUUCGGACAACGGAUAGGAAUUCUUAGUGGCGGACGGGUGAGUAACGCGUCGAGGAACCUGCCUUGGAGAGGGGAAUAACACAGAGAAAUUUGUGCUAAUACCGCAUGAUGCAGUUGGGUCGCAUGGCUCUGACUGCCAAAGAUUUUAUCGCUCUGAGAUGGCCUCGCGUCUGAUUAGCUAGUUGGUGGGGCAACGGCCCACCAAGGCGACGAUCAGUAGCCGGACUGAGAGGUUGACCGGCCACAUUGGGACUGAGACACGGCCCAGACUCCUACGGGAGGCAGCAGUGGGGAAUAUUGGGCAAUGGGCGCAAGCCUGACCCAGCAACGCCGCGUGAAGGAAGAAGGCUUUCGGGUUGUAAACUUCUUUUAUUAAGGACGAAACAAAUGACGGUACUUAAUGAAUAAGCUCCGGCUAACUACGUGCC
rnacentral:rRNA from 1 species